UCACUGGGAUCUGGGCCUUGUCGGGUGUCUGUUGUAUAUGCCUGGUGUCCGACUCAUUGAAGAAGAACUCGUCGUCCAAUUUGAGUAGUUACUGUUUUGUCUCAUCGCUACAACUCCUGUACGGGCUCGGGAAAGACGAAGGACAAGAGCCAUGCGUCCUACGAAACACAACCCAACCAAGCUGCACUGCUUCUUAACACAGCGCGCAUCCAACACGGAAGCCAUGUUAUGCUAUGAUAUAUUAUGUUAUGCUAUAUUAUGUUAUGCUAUAUUAUGUUUUGUUAUGCUAUAUUAUGUUAUGCUAUGCUAUAUUAUGCUAUGAUAUGUUAUGCUAUAUUAUGUUAUGCUAUAUUAUGUUAUGCUAUGAUAUGUUAUGCUAUAUUAUGCAAUGAUAUGUUAUACUAUGAUAUGUUAUGCUUUAUUAUGUUAUGCUAUGCUAUAUUAUGUUAUGCUAUUCUAUAUUAUGUUAUGCUAUGCUAUGCUCAGUAGAGGCUGCGGAGGGGAGGACAGCUCAUAAUAAUGGCUGGAAUGGAGUGAAUGGAAGCCAUGUGUUUGAUAACAUUCCACUCCAGCCAUUACCACUCGCCCGUCCUCCCCAAUUAGGGUUCCACCAACCUCCUGGGUUUAUGCUAUGUUAUGCUAUGCUGUACUGUGUUAUGUACCUUGUAGAGGGGGUGCACCAUGGGCAUGUUGCGCAGCAGUGCUACAGCGAACACCUCAGCCAGGAGGUGAGUGCGCAGCAGGUGGACGUUGAGCUGGUGCUCUUGAAAGUCAGCGCUCCUCACAAAGAUCUUGGCCAGGAGCCAGUCAUACUCAGAGUCAGUAGGAAGGAAGAUGGGGUUGUCUUCUCCAGGCUCCUGCUUCAGCUGUGGAGAGAGUGUUAGGGACCCCAUAGAUGGCUACCAGCAACAUUAUUCCUGUUUAAUGAAAAAAUACGGAUUCCUUUUUGGUGCUAUAUAGAACCCUUUUUUGAAGGUUCUAUAAAUAACCAUGAACAUAAGGUUAUGAAUGGAACAUUUAUGGUGCUAUAAAGAACCCUUUCCUAAGGUUCUAUAAAUAACAUUUUUUUAAUGUUCUACAUAGCACCAAAAAGGGUUCUGCUAUCGUUUCAACCCUUUUUGGUUCAGGGCUUGACAUGUACUUUUUUAGCCACUUGUCCUUAGGACAAGUAGGAAACCUUUUUUACUUGUCCAAAAGCUCAAGACACACAAAAAAAGGGUCUGUAACACCAUUUGAAUGUUUUGUACAUCAUUGUAUGAUGCAAGGAACCACUUUACAAAAUGAAAUGCAUUACUAUCCUUUUUUUACCAUAGAGGAUCAGACAAACAUGGAGGCUACACUCUGUCUAUUGGCUUCUUCGCAUAUUCAAUCGGUCUCAAAAUACAACACUGCCCCUUUAAGGCUCUCCUGGAGGAUGGUUGGACACCCUUGAUAGUCUAUAAAAUGUUGCAACAUUACAAUUACAACCAAAUAGCCUACUUGUUAUGUCUGUAUAAUUAAGGGCUUCCCCGUCAUCACUGGGAUGAUGCAAAAUAUGUCUACGGUUCUACAGAUUCAAAAUUCAUACAACCACUGCACAUGAAAAAUGUAAAAAUGCAAUAGGCUGAAGCAACAGAUCAGACCGUUUAGCUUAAAACUGUUGAUAAAUUUGUUUAAAAAAUCCCAGGCAACUGGUGUCGCUAUCUAGUAAACUUGCUAGCUAUUUCAGUGGAUGUUGAACUCAUUUAUCCCUGCAAAAUGAACACAUUUCUAGCAAGUAAAUGUGCUGAAUUAUAGCCAUGGUAUAAAAGGGAUAAUCAACUCGGCUCUAUGCGUACUCUGGAAAAUAAUGUAACUCUGUGGAAGGUUAGUUCCACUCUGCUAGCGCGUUGUGGAACACACCUCAUUAUUAAUUAUUUUCCAGAGAACACAUAUUCGUUGAUUAUCCCUUACGCAUUUCACAAGACACUUUCACUAGCUAUAGUCAUAUUUAACAUGUAAUGACACAAUAACACAAAGAUAAACUGGAAUGACACUCUCACUCAAAAAGAGCCUUGAGCAAACCACAACCCAAAAUAAUUAUGAUCUGCCCCCCCCACACACACAUUUGAUUAUCACAAAAGAGGAAAGAACCCUUUUCUGAACUCCAAAGAAGCAUUGAAGGAAUCAAAGGUUUCACAUAAAACCAUCACCCUUCCCAAAGGACCCUUGAUGAACCACAUGUUCUAAGUGUGUAAUGGGCGCUGUCAGAUACAGUGGAGGCUGGUGGAGGGAAACAUGGGGAGGACGGGCUAGUUGUAAUGUUUGGAACGUAAAGAAGGGAGUGGUAGUAAUGAGCCCUUACUCUCCAUUUCUAUCUCCACCAGCCUCCAUGGGUAAGUGGGCUCUCUAAAGGAGAUUGAAACAUGAUGGGUUUACAGACUCUCUCACUUGUAAUGGUCUCCGUGACUGUAUUCUUCACUUCAAAGUUAGUUAGGGCAACCUUACCUGGAUGGCGAUGGGAACCAGCUUGUCAUCAGGGGUUUUGUAGAGCAGAACCAGAGGAGCCGCCAUGUACUGUUUUUUCCUAUUGAUCACGUUUGCCUUUAAUCCAUCCAGGUUCUUGUAGUCAAGCAGGAAUAUGUUGCCGCUCUGUUUGGGAUUGGAUGACAUGGGAGAAUAAACCCAAAAGUUACAAUGCAACAGGUUAGGAUUACGGUUCACUUUCUUGGUAUUUUGGAAUGGGACAGAUAUUGUAGCUCUGUGUUUUACUAGGAUUAUCCCAAAAAACAUCCAAUAAAGUUAUUUUUGCGAUUACUUUCUUGGAUUUUAGGGUUACCAUCCCCCCACAAAAACAUCAAAGAAAGGAAUACAGGGAUGUUUUUCAUUUUUUCAGUGACCAGGUUUCAUCCAACGUUUUUUAAGUACAUGUCAGAUAGAAAAUGUCACGACUGGCCUGAAGAUAACAGAACGCUUGUCUGUAAACUUUCAGCAUGUCAACAAAACAAAAUAUGCUAGACAAGGUGGGAUACUUUUGUGUCUGUAAAAUAUAUUAUGCGAGAAAUGGUGGUGGAAUGACACUUUUAUGUGCAAAAAUGGAUAUAAUAACCAUCAUAUCUAAGUAAACUUGGAGUCACGUGACAUGUUGUGUGGUCCUCUCACUACGACUCAGGAAAACAUGCAGUUUAUUAGAUGAAAUAAGUUAUGAUGAACUUCACAGGGUGGUGAAAGUGCACAGUGAUGAACUUGAUGCUCCUUUCCAAUACAUAUCUUGGGUCAUUUUCUGGUGACAUGAUGUCAGAUGCUUGACUGCCAUUGAUAAAUAAAAAUAAUAUUUUUUGUCCAUAUAAUAAUGUCAUCAUGUAGAUUAUACCUGCACUGUAUCUGCCAGCUGUUGGCUAGAGUGCACGAGCCAAGACCAGAGUGGGCACAUUCAGUAUAUAACAGAAAAAUAAUUGUGACAAAGCCAUCAGAGUUUUUAUUUUAUUUUUAUGUUUGGGUACAUGGGAAUUUAACCACAAAGGUUAUUUUUAUGUUUGGGUACAUGGGAAUUUAACCACAAAGGUUAUUUUUAUGUUUGGGUACAUGGGAAUUUAACCACAAAGGUUAUUUUUAUGUUUGGGUACAUGGGAAUUUAACCAUAAAGGUUAUUUUUAUGUGACAGACUUUUUUCCGCAACAGGUCAAUUUGAUGGAAACAUCUAUCGUAGGGAAAUGUGCAUAUUGUUUGUAGCUAUUAAGAAACAUACUGGAUGGACCUCCACAAAUGUCAUCUGUAGGUCCAAAAAGGAAUCUGGUACAUGCUUCUGAUGGUCCAAGAAAGUGGAGGUCUAGACAUCCAACAAAGGGAUCUCUAUUGACUUCCAUUGAUAAUUGUGAAUAUCUAAGAUAUUCACCUUGGUCCAAGAGGACUGCCCCUAGUCCAGCGCCACCCUUGGUAGAAGUGGUACUGCAAUAAUUUAGGCAACUUUGAACAAAGAGUCCCAUUUUGACAUACUGUACAGUACCUGCAAUUCCUUUAGGAGGCUGGACGAUCCAGGAAGAGAGGGCUUGACCAUGUCUCCUGUGACGGGGAAAUUUGCCGGCAACUCCGAGCAGCGACGGAUCAACAUGGGGUUGCAGCCGUUCAGAUACUGGUACCCGAAAAACUCAUCUUCCUUCCAGUGCUUCUGUGUGUAGUCUGGAAGGAGGAAAUUCUGGGUCGUAUUAAUUAGUGCACACCGUAGCAAAACCUUGUGCAACAGAAAAUAAAAUCAAUAGUUUCUUAUUGGACAGGUAUUCCC